CCUACGGGAGGCAGCAGUGAGGAAUAUUGGUCAAUGGACGCAAGUCUGAACCAGCCAAGCCGCGUGCAGGAAGACGGCUCUAUGAGUUGUAAACUGCUUUUGUACGAGGGUAAAGGCAGAUACGCGUACCUGUCUGAAAGUAUCGUACGAAUAAGGAUCGGCUAACUCCGUGCCAGCAGCCGCGGUAAUACGGAGGAUUCAAGCGUUAUCCGGAUUUAUUGGGUUUAAAGGGUGCGUAGGGGGGCGGUUAAGUUAGAGGUGAAAUCCCGCGGCUCAACUUCGGAAUUGCCUCUGAUACUGUUCGUCUUGAGUGUAGUUGCGGUAGGCGGAAUUUCUGGUGUAGCGGUGAAAUGCUU
rnacentral:rRNA from 1 species